rnacentral:sRNA from 1 species
AGUUACCUUCUCAAUCAAGAUACUCAAUUGCAUUUCCACUACUUUGCACUCAUUUUAUGAGUUGCACGCAUGAACUGUGUCCAGAAGAGCGACAUCAUAUUGGAGAUCGCAGUCUUUCCUUAUGUAAUAUGUUCCUAGAUGAAAUGGCCAAACAAGCUCGAAAUCUCAUCACUGAUAUUUGCACAGAACAGUGUACCCUUAGUGACCAGUUGCUGCCCAAGCAUUGUGCCAAAACUAUCAGUCAAGCAGUGAAUAAGAAAUCAAAAAAGCAGACCGGUAAGAAAGGGGAACCUGAAAGGGAGAAACCAGGUGUUGAGAGCAUGAGGAAAAACAGGCUGGUUGUGACCAAGUAAGUGUCCACUUAUAUUAUACCUUUUUGCUCCAGGUAAAAUAUUUGUUUCAUUUUUUUCUAUGACAUUAGUACUGAGGAAAUGCUAAUAAUUGUAUAUUCUUCAUUUUCCAGCCAUUUUAAAAAAUAUUUCUGAGCUUAAUUAACCUGUUAGUUGCGUAUUUCAUCUCAAAAUACAGAUUUUGGCCUUUAGAAGAAAAUAUAUAUAAUAGAUGAUAUUUGUCUUUUUAUACUAAGUACUGAAGGCCAAUUAUAUGUUUAAAAAUUUUUGUGUGGUACAUUAUAAGCAAUCUGUAAUUUUUAAUUUAUUUAAAA